AGAGUUUGAUUAUGGCUCAGGAUGAACGCUAGCGGCAGGCUUAACACAUGCAAGUCGAGGGGUAUAGGUUUUCGGACCUAGAGACCGGCGCACGGGUGCGUAACGCGUAUGCAAUCUACCUUUCACAGAGGGAUAGCCCAGAGAAAUUUGGAUUAAUACCUCAUAGUAUUAUAGAGUGGCAUCAUUUUAUAAUUAAAGUUCCAACGGUGAAAGAUGAGCAUGCGUCCCAUUAGCUAGAUGGUAAGGUAACGGCUUACCAUGGCUACGAUGGGUAGGGGUCCUGAGAGGGAGAUCCCCCACACUGGUACUGAGACACGGACCAGACUCCUACGGGAGGCAGCAGUGAGGAAUAUUGGUCAAUGGACGCAAGUCUGAACCAGCCAUGCCGCGUGCAGGAUGACGGUCCUAUGGAUUGUAAACUGCUUUUGUACGAGAAGAAACACUCCUACGUGUAGGAAUUUGACGGUAUCGUAAGAAUAAGGAUCGGCUAACUCCGUGCCAGCCGCCGCGGUAA
rnacentral:rRNA from 1 species